GAUGAACGCUGGCGGCGUGCCUAAUACAUGCAAGUCGAGCGAAUGGAUUAAGAGCUUGCUCUUAUGAAGUUAGCGGCGGACGGGUGAGUAACACGUGGGUAACCUGCCCAUAAGACUGGGAUAACUACGGGAAACCGGGGCGAAUACCGGAUAACAUUUUGAACCGCAUGGUUCGAAAUUGAAAGGCGGCUUCGGCUGUCACUUAUGGAUGGACCCGCGUCGCAUUAGCUAGUUGGUGAGGUAACGGCUCACCAAGGCAACGAUGCGUAGCCGACCUGAGAGGGUGAUCGGCCACACUGGGACUGAGACACGGCCCAGACUCCUACGGGAGGCAGCAGUAGGGAAUCUUCCGCAAUGGACGAAAGUCUGACGGAGCAACGCCGCGUGAGUGAUGAAGGCUUUCGGGUCGUAAAACUCUGUUGUUAGGGAAGAACAAGUGCUAGUUGAAUAAGCUGGCACCUUGACGGUACCUAACCAGAAAGCCACGGCUAACUACGUGCCAGCCGCCGCGGUAA
rnacentral:rRNA from 1 species